rnacentral:tRNA from 1 species
GGACCCGUAGUCUAGUGGUAUGAUAUUGGAUCCACUAUCCAAAGAUCGGGGGUUCGAAUCCCCCCGGGUCCA